CCGGACCUGCACCUGUUCCAGUGUGACCACAUCAAGGCGAAUCUGAUCCACGCAGACGUAGAGAGUGCCGUGAUCGAUGCCAAAGGAGGCAAAGUGAAGAAGAGACCGGAGACGCUCCGGAUGAUCCUGAAGAGUGACGGGGUCAUCCCCCCUCCCCCCGCUGCUCCCGCCCCUGAACCACCGGCAUCGUCCAAUCAGAUGGACG